AAUUUGAAAACAGAAGAGAUAAGGCCAAGGCUGGGCCCGAAACGAGCCUAAUUUGAUAACAAAUCUAGAUUUUGAUCCAAUCCAUAAGACUUCAAAAAGUUCUGUCGUAUGGAUAAACAGUAGUUGGAGGGUCAUGCCAUCACAGACACAAUCCAAAUUAUGUGAUGGUUGCUUCUUUCACACGUUACGUCAUAAUUCUGAAAUAAUUGCUAUCAUAUGGUAUUUAUAAGUUAUCAAGAACGGUACCCAAACCAAUAUAAAUUAAGAAAAAACUAAAUCAAUUUGAUGAAGUUUUUAAAGAAGAAUUACACGAUCUAGAAGGUCUGUCAAUGAUUUGAUGUCAAUUUCACAAGUUAAUAUUAGGGUUAUUCAUCUGUCAAUAAUAGAAAUAACUUCCUUUAGAGUAUACAAAAAUUACCAAUGAUAAAUCAGUUUGGUGGCUAAUUUUUUUGGAUCACCUAAUAAAAUUCAAGUUUUGCAAUAAGACCAUCUCCAAUGGUACACUCUAAUUUUCUCUAUAUUUCACUCUAAAAUAGAGUAACUCUAUUAUAAAGUGAACCAUUGGAGCAAAUUCAACUCUAUAAUAGAAUUAUUCUAUUUUAGUGUAAAUUAUAGAGGAAAAAAUAGAGUUCCCUUGGAGAAGCUCUAAGAGAUUUGAUCUUCAAGAAAAAAGUUGUUUUAACAUAGUUCAAAUCUUACCCUAGGAGAUGAAUGUGUCUUCAAACCCAUAAUUUUUUAUUCAUUUAAAAAAAUAUCAGACCAAGAAAUUUCUAAAUAUAAACAAAUUAUAAAAUAUAAUAACACAGUUUGAUCCAAAAAAAUAUAAUAACACAGUAAGAAAAUGACUUGAGAUAUAAAUUAUUUACAAAAUGAAAACUAGUUCUUGAUGACUGUGCUCCUCAUUUAAAUUUAGAGAAUUGAUCGUUCUGUUGUACUAAACGAAGAACACUAAUGGGCUUUUCAUAAAACAGGCUACAUUAAAAAGCCUAUACCAUCUUAAUCAGAAAGGUCAAUAACUGAAAAGAAUUAUACAUCGUCUCUAAUAUCUUAACACUUGACAAAUUAUAUAGAGAAAUUGCACUGCAUAUACAAAACAUAUUUGCAGGGAUGAAAUUUCGACUUUCCAGAUGAUGUGUUUUUUCUUAAAUGUCCAUAUUACCGCUAUUCAUCUUUUACUGCAACCUAGUGUCUAAUACAUUUCAAAACUUUAUAUUUCAUUAUUAUGCCUACAGAGAGAGACGAUGCUCAUCAUUACAAUCGAUAUACUCUUAUUUAAAUAUAUAUUUCAUCUCUCUCAAUCUCUUUGGUUUCUUUGUGGUUACAAUUCUCAUUCUCUCACAAUCUCUUUGAUUUUUCCGUCAGAACUAUUGUUUACUAACAAUCUUUCAUCUCUCCCAAUCUUUUUGGUUUCUCCGACGGAACCCUUGUUCCGAAACAGUCUUCCAUCUAUCUCAAUCGCUUUGGUUUCUCCGUUGGAAUUCUUGCUCCAAAAUAAUUUCAUACGCGCUAGAUCAUGUUCUUCAGUCUCACCGUAUUUACUAGUUUCUUUUACGACUGUCUUGAUUCUAUCUAAGUUCAUGUUGGCAAUUAUGGAGACCAUAGAGUUACCAUUUCAGAUUUUUGCUGCUGGCCACACACAUCAGCAAGAAUAUUAACCGGCUAUGUCAGUUUGUGUUACGACUAUAUAUUUUGGGAAAAUGUUUUGUAAGAUUUCCAAGUUAUGUAUGCAACUUUGUUUUCUGUUUGACUGUUUAUAUGUGAUAUAUUAACCGGUUAUGUCAGUUUGUGUUACGGCUAUGUAAUUUGGAAAACCUUUAUGUAAGACCUUUACUAGAUUAACAGCAUGGGAUUAUAUAUAUUUAAAUUUAAA